rnacentral:rRNA from 1 species
CAAAGGCGAGGCCGAAAGGCGUAGUCGAUGGGAAUCACGUUAAUAUUCGUGAGCCUGGAGGUAGUGACGGAUCGCGUAUGUCGUUUGACCUUAUCGGAUUGGUCAGGCGGCGGAGCGGUUCCAGGAAAUAGCUCCUCCUUAUAGUCCGUACCCUAAACCGACACAGGUGGACAGGUAGAGUAUACCAAGGCGCUUGAGAGAACUCUGCUGAAGGAACUCGGCAAAUUGCACGCGUAACUUCGGAAGAAGCGUGACCCCUAUGCACGCAAGUGUGUGGGGGUGGCACAGACCGGGGGGUAGCGACUGUUUAUCAAAAACACAGGGCUCUGCGAAGUCGCAAGACGACGUAUAGGGUCUGACGCCUGCCCGGUGCUGGAAGGUUAAGAGGAGAGGUGCAAGCUUUGAAUCGAAGCCCCAGUAAACGGCGGCCGUAACAAUAACGGUCCUAAGGUAGCGAAAUUCCUUGUCGGGUAAGUUCCGACCUGCACGAAUGGCGUAACGACUUCCCCGCUGUCUCCAGCAGAGACUCAGUGAAAUUGAAUUCCCCGUGAAGAUGCGGGGUUCCUGCGGUUAGACGGAAAGACCCCGUGCACCUUUACUAUAGCUUUACACUGGCAUUCGUGUCGGCAUGUGUAGGAUAGGUGGUAGACUAUGAAGCUCGGGCGCCAGCUCGGGUGGAGUCAUCCUUGAAAUACCACCCUUAUCUAUAUGGAUGUCUAACCGCGACCCGUUAUCCGGGUCCGGGACAGUGUAUGGUGGGUAGUUUGACUGGGGCGGUCGCCUCCUAAAGAGUAACGGAGGCGCGCGAUGGUGGGCUCAGAACGGUCGGAAAUCGUUCGCUGAGUGCAAUGGCAUAAGCCUGCCUGACUGCGAGACUGACAAGUCGAGCAGAGACGAAAGUCGGUCAUAGUGAUCCGGUGGUCCCGCGUGGAAGGGCCAUCGCUCAACGGAUAAAAGGUACGCCGGGGAUAACAGGCUGAUGACCCCCAAGAGUCCAUAUCGACGGGGUUGUUUGGCACCUCGAUGUCGACUCAUCGCAUCCUGGGGCUGGAGCAGGUCCCAAGGGUAUGGCUGUUCGCCAUUUAAAGCGGUACGUGAGUUGGGUUCAGAACGUCGUGAGACAGUUCGGUCCCUAUCUGCCGUGGGUGUAGGAAUAUUGACAGGAUCUGUCCCUAGUACGAGAGGACCGGGAUGGACGUAUCUCUGGUGGACCUGUUGUGGCGCCAGCCGCAUAGCAGGGUAGCUAUAUACGGAGGGGAUAACCGCUGAAGGCAUCUAAGCGGGAAACCCACCUGAAAACGAGUAUUCCCUGAGAGCCGUGGAAGACGACCACGUUGAUAGGCCGGGUGUGGAAGUGCGGCAACGCAUGAAGCUUACCGGUACUAAUAGCU